AUGCCACCUCCACCGCUACCACCUGCAUGCGCCCCGCCGGUGCUAGCCGCUCCACCUCCACCCCCGCCUAUCCCAACAUUCACGCCACCAUGCCCUAUAUUGAUGCCAAUGCCCGCACCUGCUCCACCACCUACGCUUGGGCCACCACCAUGGUUAGUAGCAGCUCCACCUCCAAGUCCGCCGCCUAUAGCGAUGGAGGUGCCGUGCCCGCCAUGGCUGAUACUCACACCAAAACCUCUGCCACCACCCUUGCCUCUGCCACCUCCGAUGGAGAAAGACUUGCUGUCAUUGAGGGUGUUCUUGUCCGCAUACAGGAGCCUUGCACCAGUAGGCGGGGGAAGUGAGAAGAACACUACUAGAAUUGAGAUGGCAAGGAAGCAAGAAAAAGAAGUGGCCAUGGGAAACUGA
rnacentral:rRNA from 1 species